rnacentral:tRNA from 2 species
GGAGACGUGGGUGAGCGGCUGAAACCAGCGGUUUGCUAAACCGCCGUACGGGGUAACCCGUACCGAGGGUUCGAAUCCCUCCGUCUCCGCCA